CCUACGGGAGACAGCAGUGGGGGAUAUUGCACAAUGGGGGGAACCCUGAUGCAGCGACGCCGCGUGGGUGAAGGAGUGCUUCGGUAUGUAAAGCCCUAUCGGCAGGGAAGAAGCAAGACGGUACCUGACUAAGAAGCCCCGGCUAACUACGUGCCAGCAGCCGCGGUAAUACGUAGGGGGCGAGCGUUACCCGGAUUCACUGGGUGGAAAGGGAGCGUAGACGGGCAAGCAAGCCAGGGGUGAAAGCCCGGGGCCCAACCCCGGGACUGCCCUUGAAACUGCAUGGCUGGAGUGCGGGAGGGGCAGGCGGAAUUCCUGGUGUAGCGGUGAAAUGCGUAGAUAUCAGGAGGAACACCGGCGGCGAAGGCGGCCUGCUGGACCGCGACUGACGUUGAGGCUCGAAAGCGUGGGGAGCGAACAGGAUUAGAUACCCCAGUAGUC
rnacentral:rRNA from 1 species